GCAAGUCGAGCGGAUUGAUGGGAGCUUGCUCCCAUCAGUCAGCGGCGGACGGGUGAGUAACACGUGGGUAACCUGCCUGUAAGACUGGGAUAACUCCGGGAAACCGGGGCUAAUACCGGAUAACUCAUUUCCUCGCAUGAGGAAAUGUUGAAAGGUGGCUUUUAGCUAUCACUUACAGAUGGACCCGCGGCGCAUUAGCUAGUUGGUGAGGUAACGGCUCACCAAGGCGACGAUGCGUAGCCGACCUGAGAGGGUGAUCGGCCACACUGGGACUGAGACACGGCCCAGACUCCUACGGGAGGCAGCAGUAGGGAAUCUUCCGCAAUGGACGAAAGUCUGACGGAGCAACGCCGCGUGAGUGAUGAAGGUUUUCGGAUCGUAAAACUCUGUUGUUAGGGAAGAACAAGUACCGUUCGAAUAGGGCGGUACCUUGACGGUACCUAACCAGAAAGCCACGGCUAACUACGUGCCAGCAGCCGCGGUAAUACGUAGGUGGCAAGCGUUGUCCGGAAUUAUUGGGCGUAAAGCGCGCGCAGGUGGUUCCUUAAGUCUGAUGUGAAAGCCCACGGCUCAACCGUGGAGGGUCAUUGGAAA
rnacentral:rRNA from 1 species